rnacentral:lncRNA from 1 species
GUUGAAGGUGCAGCAAACCAAGGUGGUAAAGGACCAAGUAUUUGGGAUACAUACGCCAAUGAUCAUGCAGGUUAAUUUCGUCCUUCACCAUACAAUUUUCAGUUUUAAAAAUAUACAAGUUUAAAGUUUUGAGGGUACAUUUAUAAAUUAAAGAAGGGUCAUAUUAACUAGUCUUCUUAAAAUUGACUACACAAAUUCUAAAUAUCUCUUGCCAUUAAAGAAUUUCAUUAUAUUUGGCAAACUUCCACAGCAUAUUCAAAUGUGGAAUUGACAAAUAUACUGUAUAAAAUCACUUGUAUCACAUCAAACAUUUAAAACUAGUUAUUAGUUAAUUAUGGGGAGAUACAUAUGUCUAACCCAAUUGCUAAUAAAAUGCAUUUUUUGAUACAUAAGCGAAAUAAUAAAGUUAUCAUAAAUUAACACACAAAUGAAGAGCUAGAGUUUGAACUCUGGUCGUGACAUCCGACCUAAAAAUUUUAAUAUUUAUACCAGUUGAACUUGAACUUUGGACUU